rnacentral:sRNA from 1 species
GCUGUGGCACAGCUGAUCCCACUUCCCCAGGUGAGCUCUGACAGAGGCCAAGCUUGGGCAGGGCAGGCCCCAUGGGGAGCGGGGAGGAACGGUCACCUCUGCUCAGGUCUCGCCAGCACGUUUCCCGGAGGACACAGCAGCCAGAGCGCCCGAAGGUGGCCGGUGCCGAGGUGGCCGUCGGCUGGCCGGAGGUGGAAGAGGCCCUGGUACUCCUGCAGCUCUGGGCAAACCUGGACGUGCUACUGGUGGCCUCGUGGCAGGAGCUGAGUCGGCACGUGUGCGCCGUUACCAAGGCACUCGCCCAGUAUCCCCUCAAGCAGUACCGGGAAUCGCAGGCCUUUUCCUUCUGCACAGCAGGGCACUGGGCAGCCGGCGAGCCAGUGGCAAGAGACGGCACAGGGCUGCAGGCAGCCUGGCGGAGGCAGAUCAGGCAG